rnacentral:tRNA from 1 species
GAAGAGGUAACUCAAAGGUAGAGUAGUGGUCUUUUAAACCAAAAGUUGAGGGUUCAAUUCCCUUCCUCUUCA